UUGAUUACUAAGAAGUUGAGAAAGAAAAAGAAAAAAUUGAAAAAAGAAAGAAAGAAAAGAAAAGUGAAAAAGAAAAGAAAAAAGAAAAUGUUUUGAAAAAGAAAAAAAAGAUCAAAUAUUUUGUGCUAAUAAGUUGUGUUAAAGUGUAACAAUAGAGCAAAGAGAAAGAUGAAUGAAAUUUAUGAAUGCUUGAGAUUAUGAGAAAUGAUCACUCUCAUUUGAUUAGGUAAGUUUUUGUUUCAAUUAACUUGAUAU
rnacentral:lncRNA from 1 species